UAAACGACUCUCGGCAACGGAUAUCUCGGCUCUCGCAUCGAUGAAGAACGUAGCGAAAUGCGAUACUUGGUGUGAAUUGCAGAAUCCCGUGAACCAUCGAGUCUUUGAACGCAAGUUGCGCCCGAAGCCUCGGCUGAGGGCACGCCUGCCUGGGUGUCACACGU
rnacentral:rRNA from 1 species